rnacentral:lncRNA from 1 species
GGAUCAACAUUAUAUUGUCCUGUGUUAGAGAAUGCUUUAAUUAGAGGAACAAGUAGUCCAUAUUAAUUGCACGCACUUAAUUAUCAACUCCACUAAUGGCAACAAAUUAUUGCAUCUAUGGUCGCGGCUACUUAAAAAACGUUACAGGGGACGCUGUUAUAUGUGUUUUUGGAUCAUUUAAAACCGACCUAUAUGUUGAUUUUUCUGCUCUCCCCAAACCCAAAAUUAAAAAGCGGCACAUAUAAGUUGCUAUGUAUGCCGGUUCUUAGUAAAAAAGGCACAUAAGAGGCCGGCCCAACAUAGAGACUACGUAAAAAACUGGCAUAAAAGUCGCACGGAUAGAGGCCUAUCCUAAGAGCAUCCUAAUAAUUUUUUUAUCCCAUCAUCUAUCCUAAAAAUAUAUGUUGAAGGGUAAAAUUAGUGUUCCAACAGAACAUCUAUUUCAUCCUCUAUUUUAGAUGUCCUCUAUAUCAGGAGAGAGAAUAUAUAUAUUUAGAUAUUCUCUAUCCAUCAUCUAAAACUCAAUUGUCCCCACUUUGGCCACUAUGAGUCUAUGUAACAUAAAACAAAUGCAUGGUAGUUACAUGUAUCAAUAAAAAUAAUAGACUAGAAUAUAGAUGCUAUAAUAUGGAUGAUCUGUUAGAGCACACAUAUAUAUAGAGGAUAAAAUUAUUUUAGAUGAUCAUCCAAACUAAGAUAUAGAGACCAAAUUUAGAUGAGCUGUUGGGGAUACUCUAACACCCUACCCUCUCCUCCCUUCUCCAACUACCACCGACACCUAUCUCUUCUCUACCUACCUCCACCUAUCCUGUCAAGUGUCAACGAUGAGGAUGCAUCACUAUUACAGAUACUCUAAAACAGUAUAGGAAUUCUAAUAGUCUGAUGAAAUAGUUGGAGAGAGUAUAAUAGACUUUUUCAUUAAACUACUGCCAAUCAUGUAUUUGAAAAGUGAAUCCAAGUAACUAAGAAUUCAAAAUUUGGUCGGUAAAGGGACUAAGACAACCAUUUUACUUACCGGUUUUGUUAAAUAACCUAAAGUUAUUUAUAUUUGGAACUGAACGAGUAUAACGGUACAUAAGCAAAAGUUGUAAGACGUGACAUAGAUUUUGCAACAUGGCGAUAUUACGAAGGUAUGGAAGCCAUUUUCUAACAUUCGGUGCGCAUUCCCUGGUGAUGAUAUGCUAAAUGUUUAGGUGGACAGAGAGAGAGAGUAGAUGUAAUGAAGUAAUUUGCACCUUGAUUUUUCAGUCUGUCUUCCUUGCCCUUUGUCUCUACUCUGGUGCUCUUGUCGCCUCCCCGUUUUCUUGGUUGUGCUUGAUCCACUUCGCUGGUUAUAUAGUGGUGGUGGCGUUGAUGAUUGGAUAACCACAAUUAGGCUGAUUUUUAAAAGAAAAAUAAAUGAGGACGUCAGGUAAGCAAGCAUUUGAUUUUUC